CCAAAGGCUCUUUUAAGAGCCACCCACACUUUACAAAAGACUGUAG
rfam:Ailuropoda melanoleuca scaffold760_5, whole genome shotgun sequence.